rnacentral:rRNA from 1 species
AACGAACGCUGGCGGCAGGCCUAACACAUGCAAGUCGAGCGAGGAAUUCGGGUUUAGUGGCGGACGGGUGAGUAACGCGUGGGAACGUGCCCUUUGGUUCGGAAUAACUCUGGGAAACUGGGACUAAUACCGGAUGAGCCCUUCGGGGGAAAGAUUAAUCGGGCUAUGAUCGGCCCGCGUUGGAUUAGCUAGUUGGUCGGGGUAAGGGCUCCCCAAGGCGACGUACAUAGGCUGUUUUGAGAGGAUGAUCAGCCACAUUGGGACUGAGACACGGCCCAAACUCCUACGGGAGGCAGCAGUGGGGAAUCUUAGACAAUGGGGGAAAGCCUGAGGUAGCCAUGCCGCGUGAAUGAUGAAGGACUUAGGAUUGUAAAUCUCUUUCACCGGGGAAGAUAAUGACGGUACCAGCAGAAGAAGCCCCGGCUAACUCCGUG